rnacentral:rRNA from 1 species
UGGGGAAUAUUGCACAAUGGGCGAAAGCCUGAUGCAGCGACGCCGCGUGAGGGAUGACGGCCUUCGGGGUUGUAAACCUCUUUUCAGCAGGGACGAAGCGCAAGUGACGGUACCUGCAGAAGAAGCACCGGCUAACUACGUGCCAGCAGCCGCGGUAAUACGUAGGGUGCAAGCGUUGUCCGGAAUUACUGGGCGUAAAGAGUUCGUAGGCGGUUUGUCGCGUCGUUUGUGAAAACCAGCAGCUCAACUGCUGGCUUGCAGGCGAUACGGGCAGACUUGAGUACUGCAGGGGAGACUGGAAUUCCUGGUGUAGCGGUGAAAUGCGCAGAUAUCAGGAGGAACACCGGUGGCGAAGGCGGGUCUCUGGGCAGUAACUGACGCUGAGGAACGAAAGCGUGGGUAGCGAACAGGAUUAGAUACCCUGGUAGUCCACGCCGUAAACGGUGGGCGCUAGGUGUGGGUUCCUUCCACGGAAUCCGUGCCGUAGCUAACGCAUUAAGCGCCCCGCCUGGGGAGUACGGCCGCAAGGCUAAAACUCAAAGGAAUUGACGGGGGCCCGCACAAGCGGCGGAGCAUGUGGAUUAAUUCGAUGCAACGCGAAGAACCUUACCUGGGUUUGACAUAUACCGGAAAGCUGCAGAGAUGUGGCCCCCCUUGUGGUCGGUAUACAGGUGGUGCAUGGCUGUCGUCAGCUCSUGUCSUGAGAUGUUUGGGUUAAKUCCCSCMACGAGCGCMACCCCCUAUCUUAUGUUGCCASCMMSUUWUGGUGGGGACUCSUAARARAMAUGCCGGGGYCAACUCSGARGAGAGRKGGGGASGASRAUCAAGUCAUYAUUGCCCCUUAUUGUCM